rnacentral:tRNA from 1 species
GCCUGGAUAGUUUAGUGGUAAAACGAUUCCUUGGUAAGGAAUUGAGUGUGGGUCCGAUUCCCACUCCAGGCU